rnacentral:rRNA from 1 species
UGGGAAUAUUGCACAAUGGGGCGCAAGCCUGAUGCAGCAACGCCGCGUGGAGGAAGACGGUUUUCGGAUUGUAAACUCCUGUUCUUAGUGAAGAAAAAUGACGGUACCCGAGGAGGAAGCCACGGCUAACUACGUGCCAGCAGCCGCGGUAAUACGUAGGUGGCAAGCGUUGUCCGGAAUUACUGGGUGUAAAGGGAGAGUAGGCGGGAUUGCAAGUCCGUUGUUAAAUCUAUCGGCUUAACCGGUAGCUGCGGCGGAAACUGUAGUUCUUGAGUGAAGUAGAGGCAGGCGGAAUUCCUAGUGUAGCGGUGAAAUGCGUAGAUAUUAGGAGGAACACCAGUGGCGAAGGCGGCCUGCUGGGCUUUAACUGACGCUGAGGCUCGAAAGUGUGGGGAGCAAACAGGAUUAGAUACCCUGGUAGU